UGUGUGUGUGUAGUGGUUAGGGGUGUUCGACUCCCAGCCGAAAGGCGUUGGUUCGAUCCCCAAUCUCCACAA